rnacentral:lncRNA from 1 species
UGCAAACAUAAAAAACACGCGCAAAGCAUUACCGUGAGACCCAUUUUUUAAAUGAAUAAAAUUAUUAAAAUAUAAUGAAUACACCAUCGCACUUUAGAUGGACCGAAUUGCAAAGCGUUAGCUGAGGAAAGGCCACAUCUACCAACAGGAAUGUACUUUAUCGGAGCACACAGGGUAAGACGACCGAGUGUUUGCGCGCAAAAACUUUAAAAAAUACAAAACAAUUUUAUGGCUCUGCGGGAAACUGUUAUUGGUGACCGUAUGACAUAUUACGAAUGUUAGUGAAGUGUCAAAACAGACGAAAAUUUCCGUAAUCACUAUUCGUUCAAGUUCCGUAUUUAAUUAUCCUCAUAGAUCUCAUAAUAUAGCGGACUGUCAUGAAUAUCGAACACUGAUUGGACCCAAUUUGCAUUAUAAUGACUGCAUGACCACAACAAAAUAGAAAAUGAUUUCCUGCCAAUAUAUUUCAUUUUUUGCCAUAGGCGGCACAUAAAUGCUGUUAAUUUACAUAAAUACUGCAAUACAAAUUGUUAAAGAAAGUCAGAACAUCUCAAUUUAGCGAACUGUAGCUUAUUAAUUAAAGGCAGAAUUAAAGAUAAGCACUGUCCGUGAGAUGCCGGAGUCGCAAGUGCGAUUAUCUCUAAUGCUGUCUAAUUUAUUAAUUACAGUUUGCUACUAUUUGAGAUGUUUUAGAAGGUCCUGUGGAAGAUUAGCGAAAGAUAAACUGGCAUAUUUCCUUGUUAAUUAACCUUCUUUAAAUAAAGUUUUAAUAAAAAAUAAUAAAAAACUUUCUUAAUAAUCAUAUCAAUAUGGUGUUUCCAGUUUAAUUUUUCGUCUAAAGUGACACCGAGGCAUUUGUAGCAAUUUACCCUUGGGACAGGAACAUUGUUAAGAUUGGUAUUCCUUGAGGUGUAUUCUUAAUUUUAUAAGAGGCGCAAUAAACAUACAUUUAAAUUUCUUAGGAUGAAUAUGUAGCUUAUUAUUCUCCAUCCAUUGCGUAACAAUAUUUAGGUCAUAAUUUAUGUUGUCAAUAAGAUCAUUUACAUUGUGUGAUGACGCGUAAAUUUCCGUGUCAUCCGCAUAUAGACCCGGCGUGGUUUUUUGGAGACAUUGUGGUAGGUCAUUGAUGCAAAGCAAAAAUAACAGCGGCCCCAGGAUCGAUUAUGUAUUUAUGUAAAUUAACAGCAUUUGAUGUGCCGCCUAUGUUUUUUGCAAGUUUAUGUAAAUUUCAAAACCUUUUUGAGAAAAAAAGGCGAAAGAAUUGUUAAAUAAAGGGAGCAAAGGCGCCGAAGUUAACUUAACGAAGGUAAGUUUUGUUUUAAAUAUUGAUGUAUUGUUUGCUUUAUAAGCUGAUCGUUGCGCAUAUUCAGUUAAGUAAAAAAGACAGUAUCUAAUUUUAGUGCAUCUUUAUUGAUUCCUUUUUUUAUUAUAUUAAAAUUUUACAUAAAAAAAGCAAACUUAUUUGCAUGCUAGAAUUUGAAAUCAUUUUAUUUCAAUAAAGGCAGUUUAAUUUUAUAAAGAAAUUUUAAAACGUGCUUUUUCAAAAAAACAAAUGCUAAGUACAAACAAAUGCAUUUGUUUUUCAAAAAACAAAUGCAAAAAAAAAAGCAAAUAAAGGUUUAUAAUGACAAAAAAUACAUUGAAUAAUCAGUUUUGUGUGCCAAAUCAAUUGCCAGUUAAAACAGCAAUUUUACAUGUGAUACGAAUAUCACCAGACCGGUGCAGUAAAUUCCCCUGAGGAGUUCCAACAAAGUAAUAAGAAUGCAUGGAAUUACCUUUAUAUGGAGGUUGUGGGAUUCCAAAGACUAAGAUAGAUUUUAUUUACGGUAUUUGCAUUUUCAAGCAAUGUUGACCGAGAUAGCGGCGUUUAAACUUGAACUAACGUUUUAGAAGUGUCGGGAAUUAGCUAUUAAAAACGGCCUAUUAAAACUAUUAAUUAAACUAAUUUGAUAACAGUUACUAUUUUAUCGCAAGUAUUCGUGUAAGUUGAAGUUCAAAUAUUAAAAUGUUUAUUGGAUGGAUAUGCUCUUUUGUUUUUCUUUUUAUACGGUUUUUGGGAAUGCAUGAAAAUUAACUUUUGAAGCCGUUUUGUUUAAAAGAUUUAUUCUAAAUUUUCAAUGGCCGCGGGGAAUCACAUUCUAUUAUAUAACUACUACAGUGAAACACGCAAUUUGAUUGGUCAUGCAAUAGCCGUACGUGCAGGAUCACGCUUUAUAUAAUAACUACAGUGAAACACGCAAUUUGAUUGGUCAACAGCCGUGCAGGAUCAGACAAUCCUGCACGGGAAAUUCUGAACAUAAAUUCUUGGACAUAAUUUUACAAAUAUACUCGCAUUGUAAAGUUUCAUUGUACGAUACCUUUCGACUUUGAAGUAGGUUUCCAAUUAUUGAGACGUUCGUUUAGUUGUAUGAAUAAAUUUCUGAUCAAUAUAUUGCUAUUCAGCAAGUAGCAACCAACGCGUAGCGAUGAAAUUCAUCAGACCAUGGCAUGAAUUUGCGAUCAAAUUCUGUUCACAUAUGUUGUUGUUUUCAAUAGCGUGGAGUAGCGAUUCUCUGAUUGGUUAAUUCACGAAUGUUGUGAGAACUGCACAUUUCAUCAGUAAUUCUAAUCAAGUUAAGCGUUGUUUCACUGUAGUAAUUUUAUAAAACAAUUACCAAAAGGUUUUCCCGUGCAGGAUAGCAUGAUCCAUGCACUUGGGAUGUUGCUCGACUUUCGGAAAGCGUAAAAAUACACUCGCCUACGGCUCGUGUAUUUUUACGCUUUCCGAAAGUCUCGCAACAUCCCGCGUGCAUGGAUCACGCAAUCCUGCACGGAAAACCAUUCGGUAUUCCUUUAAUCCUACACGAGUAAUUAAAAUGCCUAAUUCGCGGGAUUCUCAAAAUGUCAUUCUUUCACAGUAGUUAUUUAUAAAAUAACGUGGGAUGUUGCUCGACUUUCGGAAAGCGUACAAAUCGGCCAAUACACUCGCCUCCGGCAGGAGUAUUUUUACGCUUUCCGAACGUCUCGCGACAUCCCUCGUGCAUGAAUCACGCAAUCCUACCGGGAAAACCAUUCGGUGUUCCUUUAAUGUUUCAUGAAAAAAUAUUGCGUGCCAUUUUUUAUAUUUAACGAAGAUCAAAAUAGUUCAUUAAUGGCUUCAUAUAGGAUCUAAAUAAAUAGGAGAUCCAGUACCAACUCCUGUCAUUGGAUUACUAAGCCACACUUGCCCAUGCAACAUAAAAGUUAUCGAUAUAAUUAUUAAAACCAGUCACUUUUUGUUCUAAACAAAAUCGUCCGCUCCCACAGCUGCCGUUUACACUUAAUCAUCUAUCGGGAUCCACUCUAAGCGAAAAGGUUAAUUAGAUGAUAAUUAAGUCAUUAUUGAUAAUUAAGUCAUUAUAACAUUCUGUUACUGCCAUGUACACUCCGCCCAAAAUUCAGGAAAUCUUUAUAGCGAUUACUUUGCUAUCUAUCAAAAAGGAACAUCAUUUAAACAAACAAUCAACGAUAUAUUUAUAUUCAACAGGUAUAUUGUGACCUGCCUUCAGGAUGGACUCUUGCUGCUCGCUUUUCUAAUAACGAUAGCAAGAAUUGGAUGCAAUAUGCGAACUUUUGGUUUGAUAGAAUGCCUACGUAUGGCGGAACGCUAAAUCCUUCAAACAACCAGGAUAUGAUUUCUGAAGCAUUUUGUAGAAUGCCAGCAAAUGAAUUAAAAAUUACAAGAAGUGAUGAUCCAGCACAUACAGCAUUGCUAGAAACUACUGAUAAUUGCCUCAAUGGAAAAUCAUUUAGACAAUAUGUCACUUCUUUUGGAAACUUUCGUAACGGGGCUCGUUGGACGAGUAAUAAGUGUCUGAGUAGUUGUGCGAUCAAAUACGGUGGACAAUAUAAGAGCACGACCGGAUUUGAAAUGCACAGUUGUGGCGGUAAUCUUCAAAGCAAUAAUUAUAUCGGGUUUUGGUGUCAUUGGGGUGGAGAUGCUGCAGUUAUGAUGAUUGGUGGAGGCGGAAGUGCCUGCGGUAGAGCAGAUCAUGGCAUUGGAAUAUCUGAAG